rnacentral:rRNA from 1 species
GAAGGGUGCAAGCGUUAAUCGGAAUUACUGGGCGUAAAGCGUGCGUAGGCGGUUAUUUAAGUCUGUUGUGAAAUCCCCGGGCUCAACCUGGGAAUGGCAAUGGAUACUGGAUAGCUAGAGUGUGAUAGAGGAUGGUGGAAUUCCCGGUGUAGCGGUGAAAUGCGUAGAGAUCGGGAGGAACAUCAGUGGCGAAGGCGGCCAUCUGGAUCAACACUGACGCUGAGGCACGAAAGCGUGGGGAGCAAACAGGAUUAGAUACCCUGGUAGUCCACGCCCUAAACGAUGCGAACUGGAUGUUGGUCUCAACUCGGAGAUCAGUGUCGAAGCUAACGCGUUAAGUUCGCCGCCUGGGGAGUACGGUCGCAAGACUG